rnacentral:lncRNA from 1 species
CCCCACCAAGUAAAUCCCUACCCUAGCGACCCAAACUGGCCCUAAUCCUCUGCCGAGAUUUGCGCCCUCCAGACCUUCCUAUCUAGGGUCAUGUCCUCGGUGAGCUGUAACUGUUCCAUGUCCCGCCUAAUCACCUCACCCCAGUACUUCUUCGGCCUACCCCUACCCCGCCUAAAACCAUCCAACGCUAGCCUCUCACACCUCC